GAGGCAUUUAAUGGUAAGAAGUGGGAGAAGUUUAACAGCGAGAAAGUUGCGUCUUUGGCAUAUGCUCGAAUCCAGGGAAAGGUAGCCCUUGUGACCCACUUUCAGAAUUCAAGCUUAAUGAAUGAAGAUAAGCGCUGCCGCCCAAUUCUGUUCCACUCGGAAGGGCAGGAGGCAGGUGAUCAGAUCAUCCUGGAGCAUUUACCCUCUAGCAGUUUGAACAUCCAGUUCCGUCAGCCGGAUGGCUCACACUCUGGAGAUUCGCCAGAAAGCCCUACAGUGGAUGGCUCUGGUGAGAAGUCAGAUAAGAGUUAACAAUGUGUUGGAAGGAGAUGACCCUCAGCCUAGUGGCUGUGGGUGCUAACCCCUGCGUAUAUAUUCAAGUGUA
rnacentral:misc_RNA from 1 species